rfam:Cetobacterium ceti strain ATCC 700028 genome assembly, contig: EI52DRAFT_scaffold00015.15
CUGUAAAGGUAUGUUGGACUGUAGGGUCCUUUCUUAUGGAUCGCCAGCCAUAAGGCAUAUCGAAGAA